GACGAACGCUGGCGGCGUGCCUAAUACAUGCAAGUAGAACGCUGAAGGGAGGAGCUUGCUCUUCUUGGAUGAGUUGCGAACGGGUGAGUAACGCGUAGGUAACCUGCCUGGUAGCGGGGGAUAACUAUUGGAAACGAUAGCUAAUACCGCAUAAAAUGGAUUAUCGUAUGAUAAUCAAUUGAAAGGUGCAAAUGCAUCACUACCAGAUGGACCUGCGUUGUAUUAGCUAGUUGGUGGGGUAACGGCUCACCAAGGCGACGAUACAUAGCCGACCUGAGAGGGUGAUCGGCCACACUGGGACUGAGACACGGCCCAGACUCCUACGGGAGGCAGCAGUAGGGAAUCUUCGGCAAUGGACGGAAGUCUGACCGAGCAACGCCGCGUGAGUGAAGAAGGUUUUCUUGAUC
rnacentral:rRNA from 1 species